GAGGGGCGGUGCCCGCCGCGGCCACACCCCCAGCCCCGACUUGGCUUCGCUGUCCGGGGUCUCGCAGAAGCCGCAGAGGUGUGCUUGGCGCCUGAGAGGUGGACCUGUCUAGGAGUCCUUGUCCCGUAUCCGUGGGGGUGGGGAAAGAAGAGCUGGCUGUGACCUUUGCCCUGUCUUGGAGGCUCCAGCCUUGGGCUAAAUGGCAGCACCCCCGCUGGGCCGUCUGGUGCUGACCCACGUGCUGGUAGCCCUCUUUGGCAUGGGCUCAUGGGCUACCAUCAACGGAAUCUGGGUGGAGCUGCCUGUGGUGGUGAAAGACCUCCCCGAGGGUUGGAGUCUCCCCUCCUACCUCUCUGUGCUUGUGGCGUUGGGGAACCUGGGUCUGCUGGUGGUGACCCUGUGGAGGCGGCUGGCCCCGGACAAGGGCGAGCGGGCCCCCAUCCAAGUGGUGCAGGCGCUGAGCGUGGUGGGCACGGCCCUGUUGGCCCCUCUGUGGCCCCACGUGGCGACAGUGGCGGGGCAGGAGCACUCCGUGGCCUUCCUUGCUCUCUCCUUCGUGCUGGCGCUGGCCUGUUGUGCUUCGAAUGUCACUUUCCUGCCCUUCCUGAGCCGCUUGCCGCCUUCCUUCUUGCGGUCCUUCUUCCUGGGUCAGGGCCUCAGUGCCCUGCUGCCCUGUGUGCUGGCCCUAGUGCAGGGUGUGGGUCGCCUCGAGUGCCCACCAACCCCCACCAAUGGCACUCCUGGGCCCCCCAUUGACUUCCCAGAGCGUUUUCCUGCCAGCACUUUUUUUGGAGUCUUGUCCGCCUUAUUAGUCGUUUCAGCUGCCGCCUUUCAGGGUCUUCUGGUGCUAUUGCCGUCACCACCGUCUGUACCUACAGGAGGCCCAGGGCCUGGCCUGCAGGUGGGAGCCCCAGCAGUGGAGGAAGAGGAAGAGGCCUCACCCCUGCAGGAGUCUUCCAGCAAGGCGGCAGGCACCACCCGCAGCCCAGAACCUGUGGCCCAUCGGCUGCUCUCCACCCGUGGUGUCUGCCUGCUGGGCCUGCUGGCCGUCACCAACGCUCUGACCAAUGGCGUGUUGCCUGCUGUGCAGAGCUAUUCCUGCUUGCCCUAUGGGCGCCCAGCCUACCACUUGGCUGUGGUGCUGGGCAGUGCCGCCAAUCCCCUCGCCUGCUUCCUGGCCAUGGGUGUUCUAUGCAGGUCCCUGGCAGGGCUGGGCAGUCUCUCCUUGCUGGGCAUGCUCUUUGGGGCCUACUUGAUGGCGCUGGCAAUCCUGAGCCCCUGCCCACCUCUGGUGGGCACCUCUGCAGGGGUGGUCCUUGUGGUGGUGUCGUGGGUUCUGUGUCUCGGCGUGUUCUCAUACGUGAAGGUGGCUUCCAGCUCCCUGCUGCAUGGGGGCGGCCAGCAGUCGUUGCUGGCAGCUGGCGUGGCCAUCCAGGUGGGCUCUCUGCUCGGCGCCAUGGCCAUGUUCCCUCCCACCAGCAUCUACCAUGUGUUCCGCAGCGGGAAGGACUGUGUGGACCCCUGUGGCCCCUAAGCCUGAGCAGGCCCCCACCUCCAGCUCCUGAGCAGGGUGCUUCCCUGACCCACUUCCAAUCUGCGUAGAAGAGUCUCCUGGACGUCUGACCCUCUCAGAAAACCUCAAGCCAGGCCAGCGGGGGAAGAAGGCAGGACCUUCCUCGGCAGGACCACCCAGGAGGAGGUGGAAGAAGUUAACUGCAUGAUGACCAGGCUGUAGCCAUGACAGAAGCUGCCUCAAUUCCAAGAACUGGCCUCAAAGAAAAGGGAACAAACAGACCCUGGAACUGAAGAUUAACUGUACUUAAAACAAUCAAGAUGAUGCUGGUCAGACCACCAAAGACCAAUUUCAAGAUGACUGUCAGAGUUGACUGUGCUGUUUCUACACGUAGCCCCCUCCGUCUGUCUAUAAAAGCUCUUGCCCCCGAUUGCGGGGGGCGGGGGCAGUUGACCUUUGGACAGGUGUCACCCCCCCACCAGUUGCUGGCAUCCAAAAUAAAGAAACUUUCCUUUCCACAACGUUGCCUCUUUAUUGGCUUUUGAGCAGGGUGCAGCUGGACCCCACUUUCGGUUACAGUGACCAAUGGUAACUAGACUUAUCUUGGGGAUCAUUUUGUAAUGUAUAGAAAUACUGAAUCACUAUGUUGUUCACCUGGAACUAACCUAGUGUUGUAGGUCAAUUAUACAUCAAAACCAAACUCACAAGACGGGAAUAAAGACACAGACCUACUAGAGAAUGGACUUGAGGAUAUGGGGAGGGGGUGGGGUGAGAUGUGACAGGGUAAGAGAGUGUCAUGGACAUAUAUACACUACCAAAUGUAAAAUAGAUAGCUAGUGGGAAGCAGCCGCAUAGCACAGGGAGAUCA